AUUGAACGCUGGCGGCAGGCUUAACACAUGCAAGUCGAGCGGAGCGAGGGUGCUUGCACCUUAGCUUAGCGGCGGACGGGUGAGUAAUGCUUAGGAAUCUGCCUAUUAGUGGGGGACAACAUUCCGAAAGGAAUGCUAAUACCGCAUACGCCCUACGGGGGAAAGCAGGGGAUCUUCGGACCUCGCGCUAAUAGAUGAGCCUAAGUCGGAUUAGCUAGUUGGUGGGGUAAAGGCCUACCAAGGCGACGAUCUGUAGCGGGUCUGAGAGGAUGAUCCGCCACACUGGGACUGAGACACGGCCCAGACUCCUACGGGAGGCAGCAGUGGGGAAUAUUGGACAAUGGGCGGAAGCCUGAUCCAGCCAUGCCGCGUGUGUGAAGAAGGCCUUUUGGUUGUAAAGCACUUUAAGCGAGGAGGAGGCUACUUAGAUUAAUACUCUGGGAUAGUGGACGUUACUCGCAGAAUAAGCACCGGCUAACUCUGUGCCAGCCGCCGCAGUAACAC
rnacentral:rRNA from 1 species